UAAGCUCGCAGUGCUGGUGGUUCGCCGUGCCCCCGUGGUGUGGCGAGGCAAGAGGGAACCCGGUGCGAAUCCGGGACUGCCCCGCAGCGGUGAGCGGGAACGACCGCCGUCAUCAAGCACUGGGCGAGAGCCUGGGAAGCGACGGCCAGUAGGACCAGUUGGAUGCCCGCGAGUCCGAAGACCUGCCACCGGUACACGCACCGC
rnacentral:ncRNA from 1 species